rnacentral:rRNA from 1 species
UACAGAGGUCUCAAGCGUUGUUCGGAUUCAUUGGGCGUAAAGGGUGCGUAGGCGGCGCGGUAAGUCGGGUGUGAAAUCUCGGAGCUUAACUCCGAAGCUGCAUUCGAUACUGCCGUGCUUGAGGACUGGAGAGGAGACUGGAAUUUACGGUGUAGCGGUGAAAUGCGUAGAUAUCGUAAGGAAGACCAGUGGCGAAGGCGGGGUCUCUGGACAGUUCCUGACGCUGAGGCACGAAGGUCAGGGGAGCAAACGGGG